AUCUUUUUACUAAUGCAGUUAGGUAUGUUAACAUGUGGUGGAUUCCCGAUCGAUUUCUGCCUGUGCCUAGUUAAGGGUCACCACAUAUUCAGAGGAAACAUUUCAGAAAACCCGAAGUGAGAAUUGAAUUGAGUACACUGUGGAAUACAUGAAGGGACAACGGCCAAAAUGUUUUAUUAUUGCCCCUGAGUAUGAAUGGUACAAACCUUCCCUGAAAUUCAUAUUUCAGAAGGGAGCCUGUUGGGCACUGAACAUAAUUAUUUAGACUCUCCGCAGUAUUUAGCAUCUUACAUGAUGCAAGAGUCCUUUGAAGCCUGUCUCACCCCACUCUUGUCUUGGUGUUAUGACACCUGGACCCACAUAAGAUGGAUUUUCCUAUUAUUACUGGAAUAGUUUUUAAGGCCAUGAAGGGGCU
rnacentral:lncRNA from 1 species